CUACGGGGUGCUCCAGUGAGGAAUAUUGCACAAUGGGGGGAACCCUGAUGCAGCAACGCCGCGUGGAGGAUGACGCAUUUCGGUGUGUAAACUCCUUUUAUAUGUCAAGAAAAUGACGGUAGCAUAUGAAUAAGCACCGGCUAACUCCGUGCCAGCAGCCGCGGUAACACGGAGGGUGCAAGCGUUACUCGGAAUCACUGGGCGUAAAGGACGCGUAGGCGGGUUGGAAAGUCAGGUGUGAAAUCCUACAGCUUAACUGUAGAACUGCACUUGAAACUUCUAAUCUAGAGUAUGGGAGGGGGAGAUGGAAUUAGUGGUGUAGGGGUAAAAUCCGUAGAUAUCACUAGGAAUACCUAAAGCGAAGGCGAUCUCCUGGAACAUUACUGACGCUAAGGCGUGAAAGCGUGGGGAGCAAACAGGAUUAGAUACCCCAGUAGUC
rnacentral:rRNA from 1 species